rnacentral:tRNA from 1 species
GCCCAGGUGGCGGAAUGGUAGACGCUGCGGACUUAAAAUCCGUUGGCUGUAAUGGCCGUGCUGGUUCAAGUCCAGUCCCGGGCACCA